rnacentral:rRNA from 1 species
UACAGAGGGUGCAAGCGUUGUUCGGAAUUAUUGGGCGUAAAGCGCGUGUAGGCGGCCAGAAAAGUUGGGUGUGAAAGCCCUCGGCUUAACCGAGGAAGUGCGCCCAAAACUGUUUGGCUUGAGUACCGGAGAGGAUGGUGGAAUUCCCGGUGUAGAGGUGAAAUUCGUAGAUAUCGGGAGGAACACCAGUGGCGAAGGCGACCAUCUGGAGCGGAUACGUGACGCUGAGACGCGAAAGCGUGGGGAGCAAACAGG